CGUGGGAACGUGCCCUUUGGUUCGGAACAACACAGGGAAAUUUGUGCUAAUACCGGAUAAGCCCUUACGGGGAAAGAUUUAUUGCCAAAGGAUCGGCCCGCGUCUGAUUAGCUAGUUGGUGGGGUAAUGGCCCACCAAGGCGACGAUCAGUAGCUGGUCUGAGAGGAUGAUCAGCCUCAUUGGGACUGAGACACGGCCCAAACUCCUACGGGAGGCAGCAGUAGGGAAUAUUGGACAAUGGGCGCAAGCCUGAUCCAGCCAUGCCGCGUGAGUGAUGAAGGCCUUAGGGUUGUAAAGCUCUUUCGGCGGGGAAGAUAAUGACGGUACCCGCAUAAGAAGCCCCGGCUAACUUCGUGCCAGCAGCCGCGGUAAUACGAAGGGGGCUAGCGUUGCUCGGAAUCACUGGGCGUAAAGCGCACGUAGGCGGACUCUUAAGUCAGGGGUGAAAUCCUGGAGCUCAACUCCAGAACUGCCUUUGAUACUGGGAGCCUUGAGUUCGGGAGAGGUGAGUGGAACUGCGAGUGUAGAGGUGAAAUUCGUAGAUAUUCGCAAGAACACCAGUGGCGAAGGCGGCUCACUGGCCCGAUACUGACGCUGAGGUGCGAAAGCGUGGGGAGCAA
rnacentral:rRNA from 1 species